UUUAUAUUGUUCAAAAAUACAUAUAUACAUAUAUACAUGCAUUUUACAAUUCUACAGUGCUAUUUGUGAUGCUGUGAUUUUAUAAUCUCAGAAACAAGCUGCUGAGAUAUGGGUGGUGGUUAUCUGUAGUUUAUAGAGGAGGUAGUUGAAGCUGAGAGAGGUUAUGAUUCUGCCCAAAGAGAUAUAGUAGGUGGUUGAACUGAGGUUAGAAACUUGGUCUUUGAUGCCCGGUGUUUUGCUUUUUCUUACUCUACCAAUAUAUAUGUAUGUGUUCUGGUGGAUUUGGUGUGAUAGAACUGAAUGCCUCUAUUUCUUAUCAUAAACUUCUCCACAUGGGAAAAAACAAAACAAAAACAAAAAGUACUUGGAAGCAUGAAAAUAUUGAAAGGGUAUUUGGCAGGCACUCUUCUAUGAGGAAUUGCUUUUCAAAUUCAGUUUGUAGCUGCACAUUCCAGUUUAUGAAAACUGUAGAAAUAGGUUCUGCAGGGAAACGGAAUGUGGUUGGGAGCAUUAAUGAAGAGUUGAUUGUCAGAGUGGAGGCUUACUACCCAACAAAUGACAGCUUCUCCAACUUGUUAGCACAUGCAACUGGGGCGGUAGUUGAGAGAAAAACGAAACCCAACCAUGGGAAUUGAUCCUUGAUGAAGAUAACAUGCAGUAAAGAAAGGCUAUGAUAAUCAGGAAAGGAAAAUACAAGAUUAUACUAAGUUCAGAGAGCAUGUUGAAGCCUUGAUAUUAAUGAAAGCGUUUGGAAAGAAAGUUUUAUUUACAGAGAGAUUUUGAUAGGUUUUACCCGUAAUUGUUGCAAAUUUUGGAUCUUGAUCGUACCAGAUUUGCUUUAGUAUUAGCCUUUAAUUUCUUCUCCUGGUGGGAAAAUAUAAAAAUUUCCCUCUAGUUUCACUUAGUUAACAAACGGUAUGAAGAGAUCUAUUACGGUCAUAUCAAAUCAAAGAAUAUGUGAGAGGAAACUUUUGCAUAAAAGUACAAGAGAACAAAUACGUGUAUAGAGACUCUUCUAAUACUGACUGUCACAUUUCAUUUAAGCUACCUUUGAUGUUAUUAUCAAAGAUUACUUAUUAACUUGUAUACUCUAGAAAUUGAUUUGUUUUUAUUUUCACUGUCAUUUAUUGAAAUCAGCCUUUGGCGUGAGUGACAUUACAGAGGUGCCAUGGAAUAAUUCUGCAGCUAAAUUGAAUGAAAAUGUACGACUGUCAAUUCUAGUCUUGGCACCUUUUACACUUGGUUACCAUAUUCCAGUGAAACUAUAAUUUCUUUGUUUUCCAUUUUUAUUUUGUCUCUCUUUAAGGCACGUUGAUAGGCGUUUAGAAGGUAGAAAGAUGAACAAGAUUCAGCUCCUGUCCUUAAGGAUCUCACCAGUUGUUACGCUCUACAAGCUGUAAAAACACCUUCCAGAGUCACGUAGGGGAGAGAGAUCAUCCGCUGAAGACUCCAGAGGGGAACUGAGUCAAAUUCUCCCACGUUCACAUCACCUGGAGGACGUUUCCUUUCCCCCAGCCUCUGAUUAAUGAGACCAGACUGGUUCCUUCUGAUUAAGUAAACUAGACUUCAUUGUUCUGCUUUAUCUAUAUCACCACUGACGAAUAAAUUCUGUACUAGUUUGGAUCCAAUUCUGCAGUUUUUGUUCCAGGAUUAUCUUUUGUUUAGAUGCUGAUCGUAUAUGUUUGUUUUUCUAAAACAAUGAUUAAAAUUUAUCUUGUUAUUUAUCAGCCUACUCAGUCACUUAGUAAGUAAGAGGGGGAUGUGUAACAUUAAAAUUCCUCUAUCAUCC
rnacentral:lncRNA from 1 species